UGCCAGCCGCCGCGGUAAUACGGAGGGUCCAAGCGUUGUUCGGAAUUACUGGGCGUAAAGAGCAUGUAGGCGGCUAGGCAAGUCGAAUGUGAAAUCCCCGAGCUCAACUCGGGAACUGCAUCCGAAACUGCCUGGCUAGAGUCUCGGAGAGGAAGGCAGAAUUCCCAAUGUAGGGGUGAAAUCCGUAGAUAUUGGGAGGAAUACCAGUGGCGAAGGCGGCUUUCUGGACCAAUACUGACACUGAGGAACGAAAGCAUGGGUAGCGAAGAGGAUUAGAUA
rnacentral:rRNA from 1 species